CCUACGGGGCGCAGCAGUGAGGAAUAUUGGUCAAUGGGCGCAAGCCUGAACCAGCCAAGUCGCGUGAGGGAAGACGGCCCUACGGGUUGUAAACCUCUUUUGCCGGGGAGCAAGCCUGAGCACGUGUGCCCAGGCGGAGAGUACCCGGAGAAAAAGCAUCGGCUAACUCCGUGCCAGCAGCCGCGGUAAUACGUAGGGGGCAAGCGUUAUCCGGAUUUACUGGGUGUAAAGGGAGCGUAGACGGUGAGACAAGUCUGAAGUGAAAGCCCGGGGCUCAACCCCGGGACUGCUUUGGAAACUGCCUG
rnacentral:rRNA from 1 species